rnacentral:rRNA from 1 species
UGUGGCCAAGUUUUUAAGGGCGCACGGUGGAUGCCUUGGCACCAGGAACCGAUGAAGGACGUGGGAGGCCACGAUAGUCCCCGGGGAGCUGUCAACCAAGCUUUGAUCCGGGGGUUUCCGAAUGGGGAAACCCGGCAGUCGUCAUGGGCUGUCACCCGCUGCUGAACACAUAGGCAGUGUGGAGGGAACGAGGGGAAGUGAAACAUCUCAGUACCCUCAGGAAGAGAAAACAACCGUGAUUCCGGGAGUAGUGGCGAGCGAAACUGGAUGAGGCCAAACCGUAUGCGUGUGAUACCCGGCAGGGGUUGCGCAUGCGGGGUUGUGGGAUCUCUCUUUCACAGUCUGCCGGCUGUGAGGCGAGUCAGAAACCGUUGAUGUAGGCGAAGGACAUGCGAAAGGUCCGGCGUAGAGGGUAAGACCCCCGUAGCUGAAACAUUGACGGCUCGUUUGAGAGACACCCAAGUAGCACGGGGCCCGAGAAAUCCCGUGUGAAUCUGGCGGGACCACCCGCUAAGCCUAAAUAUUCCCUGGUGACCGAUAGCGGAUAGUACCGUGAGGGAAUGGUGAAAAGUACCGCGGGAGCGGAGUGAAAUAGUACCUGAAACCGUGUGCCUACAAGCCGUGGGAGCGUCGCUGGCAGCACUUGUGCUGUCAGUCGUGACUGCGUGCCUUUUGAAGAAUGAGCCUGCGAGUUAGCGGUGUGUAGCGAGGUUAACCCGUGUGGGGAAGCCGUAGCGAAAGCGAGUCCGAACAGGGCGGUUGAGUUGCACGCUCUAGACCCGAAGCGGAGUGAUCUAGCCAUGGGCAGGUUGAAGCGGAGGUAAGACUUCGUGGAGGACCGAACCCACCAGGGUUGAAAACCUGGGGGAUGACCUGUGGUUAGGGGUGAAAGGCCAAUCAAACUCCGUGAUAGCUGGUUCUCCCCGAAAUGCAUUUAGGUGCAGCGUCGUGUGUUUCUUGCCGGAGGUAGAGCACUGGAUAGGCGAUGGGCCCUACCGGGUUACUGACCUUAGCCAAACUCCGAAUGCCGGUAAGUGAGAGCACGGCAGUGAGACUGUGGGGGAUAAGCUCCAUGGUCGAGAGGGAAACAGCCCAGAGCAUCGACUAAGGCCCCUAAGCGUACGCUAAGUGGGAAAGGAUGUGGAGUCGCAGAGACAACCAGGAGGUUGGCUUAGAAGCAGCCACCCUUGAAAGAGUGCGUAAUAGCUCACUGGUCAAGUGAUUCCGCGCCGACAAUGUAGCGGGGCUCAAGCGUACCGCCGAAGUCGUGUCAUU